rnacentral:lncRNA from 1 species
GUGAGUCUCCGCCGCCCGGGGGCGGCUGUGGCCCAGCGACCCCGUGGACUCCGGGGAAAGUGUGUGGCCUCCCGGGUGCGAGGCAGCAUCGCCGAGUAGUCCUGACCUUGGGUUCCUGCGGGGCCCGGUGAAUGAGUCGCCCCCGGCCCCGCGGGUCUGGGGUGUCUUCAGUAACCAAUACUGGCUCUGAUGUGUUAGCCGCCUCGUUGGUGGCACUUUGGAAAUAAUCUGCGAAGUGCGGUGUGAGAACAAAACCGGACUUGGGCAACACUUGUCUUCCGCACAGGCUGUUUGUGGAAAAUACUGCCGUGCUCGAAAGUUAUUGGGGUCUUAGGUCUAGAAGUGAGAGUAAAAUCUGAUUGUUUAGGGUUCCAGUAACGUGAAUAGUGGUGCCUGCCCACAGGCUGAAGACCUAGUGAGAUCUUCAGUCAAACACCUAAGCUCAAAGGAAUGGAAAUCGUGACACUUGCGAGGCCACUCCUUUGGUUACAGUUCUCCUGGGGUCCAUGUUGGUGGUGUCCGACCCAUGCAAGAUCUCAUCAUGGGAAACAGCUUUUACAGCACCGUG